UCAUCUCGCCCCCUCGUCUCUUCCCCUUUCUAUUUCCAGCGGCGGAGACCUUGGUGAGUCAGAGAGCUUGAUUCAUGGCGAAUUCGAUUGGGAGUUCUCCUUCGGUGCCUGCUUGAGGGCUUGGUGGUCAGGCGGCCGGAGUUCUUCAGGCGGUAUGGGUGGGCGAAAGAUGGAGACAAUACUGCUGUUGAAGCUCGAGAGUGAGCAGCAGUUCGGUCACCCCUUUCUUUCUCAACUUGAGCAGGAAACUUCCAACCAAAUAGGAGGGAGGGCACUAGUGUUUUUAGAUGUAGACAAGCAGGAGAGAGAUCGGUCUUAAUCAUGCUAAGUGUGGGGUGAAUGCAAAGAUGGGGCUGUUUACCUGUGAUUCCUAUUUAGUGGAAGACUGAAGCAACUCAUUUUGCAGACAAGCCUGAAUUUUUUCAAGUAUCAGGUCUGUUUCGUCUUCCACAUUUGUUCAGGUAGGAGAGAGACAAGAGGAGGUGAUGAAUGCACAGGAGGUGGGGGUGUUUACCUGUGAUUUUUUUGCUUCUCCAACCAUGUUUGUGUCCCAGAUCAUGGAGAAAUCGCCCUGUCUGGUGGCGCUUCUCUGGGGGUAAAUUUAGCACUUUGUCAGUGGAAUUACAGUGUAAUUCUUUUGUGUUUUUAAGUGCAAUUUACACUGUAAAUCUUAGUGGAAUUACAGUGUACUUUUAGUGGAAUUACAGUGUAUUUUUAGUGUUUUCAAUUGUUUUUUACACUGUAAUUAUUAGUGGAACUACAGUGGAAUUUACACUGUAAAUCUUAAUGGAUUUUGCUCUGUAUUUGCAAGUGGAAUUAUAGUGUAUUUUUGGUGGAA